GUCCCAUCAUGGAUGAUGUUAGUUCAUGAAUUUGACACUCAUCCUUUCUUAUGGGUCAUAUCCUUUACAUUUUCAGAACCACUUAAAAGGAUAUCUUUAUGCGUCUACUGGUUGUUUCUUAUAUGUGCAUCUAUUCUGCGGUUCUACAAUAUCUCAAGAAGUAGCAAGAUUGAGAGAAUUCUUCUUCGUAAAUACUAUCAUCUCAUGGCUGUUUUGAUGUUUCUUCCUGCACUUAUCUUUCAGCCAAGGUUUCUCAAUCUAGCCUUCGGCGCAGCUUUGGCAG
rnacentral:misc_RNA from 1 species